AUCUAUAACAAUAAUUUCGACAAAGAACCAAUAAAAAAAAAAAUUAACAUGAACACAAGAAUACAGUUGUUUGUUUUUUAUGUACGGUGUUUGGGAUUGAUAUUGCGUGUAAACAACUUGUUUGUUUUUUAUGUACUGUGUUUGGGAUUGAUAGUAACAAUUUAGUUUUAUUUAUUGUGCAUACUUUGUAGGAAACUUACACAAGGAUGAGGGAAGAAAGGCAGAUUCAGGCCACAUCAGGGGAGGAAGGUAGUGGUUCAGCUUCAGAUAUUGACCUAUAUGUGGAGGCAGUUGGAGGGCCAGACAAGAAAGGAAGGAUUUAUGGAUUAGGAUCUGAAGCAGGAGCUUACAAAAAAUCACGUCUAUCCAACACAACACCUUUUGGAGUCUCACAACAAGAAACUCAUAGGAUGCGCGAGGUGGUUACACAACUAACUAAUGAGAAUACAUCUAUUAAGGUUUAGCUUGCACAAUCUGAGAGCCGGCUUGCACGCUCUGAGACCACAAUAGAAGUAAUGCAAAGGCAAAUGCGAGAGAUGCAUGAUAUGAGCGCAGGAUCCCGCAAACAAUGUUGUAUAGUCCUAGUUGCUUAGAAUCUCAGUAUCAGGUGGAUAGCGACGAGACACUAGCAGCAACCCAAGACCCUAACAAUGAAGAUGAACAACUUGGUGAUGAUCAUAGGGAGGAUUGAUGAGGAUUGAUAUCAGAAUUUUUUGUGUGGUUACAGAUGUCACUUUUUCACACCUAGUGCCUUUAACAUUGUUAUUCAUUUGUAUGUGUGAUAUAGACUUGAUUUAGUACUGCUAAUCAAUUUAUGAUGUUUUGAUGUUAGUUUGAAUAUAUAUUGCACUUUUUGUUAUGUAUGGUAAUUUGGGUAAUUGAUGGUACGUUGGAAUUUUUGUACGUAAGCAAUGUUUUCAUAUCACUAUUUUUUUAUCACUAUUUUUUUAAACAUUUUUGUUUCACUAUUUUUUUAACAUUUUUUUUCCAAAGCAAAACCAACUGAGAAUGCAAAUAUUGAGAAAGAUUAGAGCACAUCUACAAGUUAUCAGAGUAGCAUAUCUUUUCAAGGCAGCUAGUGGGGGGCCAGUGAAUGGUGAGUAAUUGUAUAAGGCUUGACACGAGCUUUGAUAUCCUUCAUGGGUACCCUUUGGUUGUAAGGCCAGUUUAUAGAAUGCCUUGCAAAUUCCAGCCUUUUACGAUACUUCAGAUUGGGGAAGUUGUUGAUGGACGGGAGGAAUCAAAUGGCUAUGCCUAAAUGAUGUUCAAAAUGAUUAUGAUCCUUCAUGACAAACAAACAGUGCAUAUUUUGGUGGCUAGCGCAAGUGUUAAGACAUCAGCCUUUAGUUAGCAUUUUUCUUCUGUUUCAUGUAUUUUCUGUAGACUUCAUUUGAACUUAAGUUAUCUUGUUAAUACAUUAUUAAUUU